rnacentral:rRNA from 1 species
CAUAGCGACUAUCGUGGCAUAUCAAUAAGCGGAGGAAAAGAAACUAACAAGGAUUCCCUUAGUAACGGCGAGUGAAGCGGGAAGAGCUCAAAUUUGAAAUCUUCAAGGUUCUACCUUGACGAAUUGUAGUUUAUAGAAGUGUUUUCUGUUAGUGAAGUGGCUAAAAGUUCUUUGGAAUAGGACAUCAUAGAGGGUGAGAAUCCCGUAUUUGGUCAUUCUCUCCUAGCUUUGUGAUACACUUUCAACGAGUCGGAUUGUUUGGGAAUGCAGUCCAAAAUGGGUGGUAAAUUUCAUCUAAAGCUAAAUAUUGGCGAGAGACCGAUAGCGAACAAGUACCGUGAGGGAAAGAUGAAAAGAACUUUGAAAAGAGAGUUAAACAGUACGUGAGAUUGUCAAAAGGGAAGCGUUUGACACCAGUGUUGUUUUUCCGAAAAUCAAUUACGAAUGUUUUAUUUUUGAGGAGUUAUGACUUCAUCGGCUUGCUCCUUUCUUUAUGAAACUUUCUUAAUGCACUUUUCGGUUAACAAGUCAACAUCAAUUUCUUUUGUUGUAAAAGGGUAUGAGGAAGGUGGCUUUCUUUUCGGAGAAAGUGUUUAUAGCCUUGUACCUCUGCAAUCGGAGAGAUUGAGGUCUGCAGCGUAGAUCCUUCGGGGUUAGAUACAUUAUGUGCUAAGUUAUAGUCUUUUCAUAGACAACUUGUUGACUAUGAUUGAGUCUUGUAGCUUACUCGCUUAUCGCUAUUUUACCUACGCUUAGGAUGUUGACGAGACUGUCGAUCUC